AUACACGUGUGUCAAUCGAGGAGUGCAGAGUGCUCUUUAUUUACAGCAUAUUUAUAUAUAAGUAAUAAUUUAUAUUCUAAAAGUUGUAUAUUAAUGAUAAGAAUUCAAUUAACCAUACGUGCUAUAAUUAUUUAUUGUGCUAUGAAUAGUAGCUAGUGAUGUAGGAUUCAUUUUCCAAUUUACAAGAGAGAUUUACAAAAGAGAGGAAAUAUCAAUUAAUUUUUUUACGUUCUAUAAUAGAUUUGUCCUUGGACGUUAAAAAUAUCAUCAAGGGCAAUGAAUAUGUCUUAACAUAUGGGAUCAAUUGUUGUAUCAAAUUCAAAAAACCACCAUUUGAAAAAUUUGACCCUGGCUAAGAUAAACAUCAGUGAACAAUAUAUUACAAGGAAAACUCUGUACAAGAUACUAGAAAUGCUAAAAGAUGAUCAAGAAGCUUUUACACAAGUCAGGCUAUUAGACAACAAUUCCUUGUAAUACAGAGAAAGACUUGGAACACUCUAUAAUGGAAUGGCUUAGAUUUGCAAACAUCCGUAAACAAAGAAAAAAAUCUUAAAAGCAACUGUUUGGUAAAGAUCCGGAAAGAUUAAUAAUCUGUUUAAAAG